GGUCAAGCGAGAAAGUGCGCACGGUGGAUGCCUUGGCACAGACCGGCGAUGAAGGACGUGGCAAGCUGCGAAAA
rnacentral:rRNA from 1 species